GAUGUACGCUGGCGGCGUGCCUAAUACAUGCAAGUCGAGCGAACGGACGAGAAGCUUGCUUUUCUGAUGUUAGCGGCGGACGGGUGAGUAACAUGUGGAUAACCUACCUAUAAGACUGGGAUAACUUCGGGAAACCGGAGCUAAUACCGGAUAAUAUUUUGAACCGCAUGGUUCAAAAGUGAAAGACGGUCUUGCUGUAACUUAUAGAUGGAUCCGCGCUGCAUUAGCUAGUUGGUAAGGUAACGGCUUACCAAGGCAACGAUGCAUAGCCGACCUGAGAGGGGGAAGCGCCACACUGGAGCUGAGCCGCGAUCCAGAGUCCUACGGGAGGCAGCGAUAGGGAAUCGUGGGCGAUGGGCGGAAGAUUGACGGAGCAACGCAGGGUGGAUGAUGAAAGUCUUCGGGUCGUAAGACUCUGUUAUUGGGGAAGAACGUAUGUAUAAGUAACUGUGCACGUCUUGACGGUACCUGAAGAAGAAGCACCGGCUAACUACGUG
rnacentral:rRNA from 1 species